AAGAGCUGCCGCAGGCGUUGACGGCGGAGGUGUCCCCAUCAAAACCAUUAGAAACAACACCACCAAGUCAAUGAUGCAAAUGGAAGUUUUGCCAUGUAAUAGUCGACCGCUGACGCCCUUCUCCAACAAUUGUGUGUAAAGAGUUUACUACCAGUCUGCAGUUCUGCAAGAGACGCAAGAAAAACAAGAAUACAAUCGCAGGAAUACUCAAAAAUUGUCCAACCUUGACUGUAAGAGAGUUCAAAUUUUAAAUCUACAACGAAUCCAUUUAUUUUGCUCCUAAGAAUCGCUGGCAAAUAUACGGAGGCAAAUGACCUGGCCCGACAAGAAUCCCCAAGAAGCCAAACAGAUUCAGAUCAGUCUCUCGGCAGCUACUGACGAUGUCGGCGAGUGGAAUACAUCGAUUUUCACACAGAAAAUCAACAUCAAAAAAAUCACGACAAUUUAGCAGCGUCAUGGUCAACCUGCCGAUCAACUAUUCACAGUGAAUAACCUCCAUUCGCAGCGGAAGCGAUCUCUGCGUUGUCGACAAUGCGAAAACAAUAUCGCAUUCAAUUGCUUGCUAACUACCAUGUGCCCAACGUUCUGCUUGUGCGUUGUGAAAAGCCACUGAAGCCUGGCACGUCCACUGAAUUGAUCCUCAAGCUAACUAACCCAACGAUGUACCAUAUGGCCACAACCAUUAUGAAACUGCCAACCAAGGAUGAGGAACGGCGAAUGAUCGACUUCGAAUAAAAGUUCAACGAAAGGAACCAAAUUUCACCACUUGAAGAAAGUCCAAUAAAGUAACAAUCAAAUUGAACUUCACACCUGAAGAAGGACUGAAACCAGGCGAUGAUGUUACCCUUAGUUUCUUGAUGAAAUAUACUUUUGUGAAUACAUACACACGCCCGAAAAGAAAGAACGU